rnacentral:lncRNA from 1 species
CCCAGCGGAAAAAUGGCCAAAAAACGGUGGGCUAUAGCCUUGGUGGGGGGCGUGGGCGAAGUUCGUCCGCGGGACUCGGAAUGGUACCAGACUUGGCGGGCGGCCUCCGUGUGCCAAAAAUAGGCCACGGGCACAGCCGCGCCCAAAAAACAGCCCCCGAAGUUCGGGGUCCCAAGACCCCCCAGCGGAAAAAUGGCCAAAAAACGGGUGGGCUAUAGCCUUGGUGGGUGGCGCCCAAAAGUUCGUCCGCGGGACUCGGAAUGGCACCAGACUUGGCGGGCGGCCUCCGUGUGCCAAAAAUAGGCCACGGGCACAGCCGCGCCCAAAAAACAGCCCCGAAGUUCGGGGUCCCAAGACCCCCCAGCGGAAAAAUGGCCAAAAAACGGGUGGGCUAUAGCCUUGGUGGGUGGCGCGCAAAAGUUCGUCCGCGGGACUCGGAAUGGCACCAGACUUGGCGGGCGGCCUCCGUGUGCCAAAAAUAGGCCACAGGCACAGCCGCGCCCAAAAAACAACCCCCGAAGUUCGGGGUCCCAAGACCCCCCAGCGGAAAAAUGGACAAAAAACGGUGGGCUAUAGCCUUGGUGGGGUGCGUGGGCGAAGUUCGUCCGCGGGACUCGGAAUGGCACCAGACUUGGCGGGCGGCCUCCGUGUGCCAAAAAUAGGCCACGGGCACAGCCGCGCCCAAAAAACAGCCCCCGAAGUUCGGGGUCCCAAGACCCCCCAGCGGAAAAAUGGCCAAAAAACGGGUGGGCUAUAGCCUUGGUGGGGGGCGUGGGCGAAGUUCGUCCGCGGGACUCGGAAUGGCACCAGACUUGGCGGGCGGCCUCCGUGUGCCAAAAAUAGGCCACGGGCACAGCCGCGCCCAAAAAACAGCCCCCGAAGUUCGGAGUCCCUAGACCCCCCAGCGGAAAAAUGGCCAAAAAACGGGUGGGCUAUAGCCUUGGUGGGUGGCGCCCAAAAGUUCGUCCGCGGGACUCGGAAUGGCACCAGACUUGGCGGGCGGCCUCCGUGUGCCAAAAAUAGGCCACGGGCACAGCCGCGCCCAAAAAACAGCCCCCGAAGUUCGGGGUCCCAAGACCCCCCAGCGGAAAAAUGGCCAAAAAACGGGUGGGCUAUAGCCUUGGUGGGGGGCGUGGGCGAAGUUCGUCCGCGGGACUCGGAAUGGCACCAGACUUGGCGGGCGGCCUCCGUGUGCCAAAAAUAGGCCACGGGCACAGCCGCGUCCAAAAAACAACCCCCGAAGUUCGGGGUCCCAAGACCCCCCAGCGGAAAAAUGGCCAAAAAACGGUGGGCUAUAGCCUUGGUGGGGGGCGUGGGCGAAGUUCGUCCGCGGGACUCGGAAUGGCACCAGACUUGGCGGGCGGCCUCCGUGUGCCAAAAAUAGGCCACGGGCACAGCCGCGCCCAAAAAACAACCCCCGAAGUUCGGGGUCCCAAGACCCCCCAGCGGAAAAAUGGCCAAAAAACGGUGGGCUAUAGCCUUGGUGGGGUGCGUGGGCGAAGUUCGUCCGCGGGACUCGGAAUGGCACCAGACUUGGCGGGCGGCCUCCGUGUGCCAAAAAUAGGCCACGGGCACAGCCGCGCCCAAAAAACAGCCCCCGAAGUUCGGGGUCCCAAGACCCCCCAGCGGAAAAAUGGCCAAAAAACGGGUGGGCUAUAGCCUUGGUGGGGGGCGUGGGCGAAGUUCGUCCGCGGGACUCGGAAUGGCACCAGACUUGGCGGGCGGCCUCCGUGUGCCAAAAAUAGGCCACGGGCACAGCCGCGCCCAAAAAACAGCCCCCGAAGUUCGGGGUCCCAAGACCCCCCAGCGGAAAAAUGGCCAAAAAACGGUGGGCUAUAGCCUUGGUGGGGGGCGUGGGCGAAGUUCGUCCGCGGGACUCGGAAUGGCACCAGACUUGGCGGGCGGCCUCCGUGUGCCAAAAAUAGGCCACGGGCACAGCCGCGCCCAAAAAACAGCCCCCGAAGUUCGGGGUCCCAAGACCCCCCAGCGGAAAAAUGGCCAAAAAACGGUGGGCUAUAGCCUUGGUGGGGGGCGUGGGCGAAGUUCGUCCGCGGGACUCGGAAUGGCACCAGACUUGGCGGGCGGCCUCCGUGUGACAAAAAUAGGCCACGGGCACAGCCGCACCCAAAAAACAGCCCCCGAAGUUCGAGGUCCCAAGACCCCCCAGCGGAAAACUGGCCAAAAAACGGGUGGGCUAUAGCCUUGGUGGGUGGCGCCCAAAAGUUCAUCCGCGGGACUCGGAAUGGCACCAGACUUGGCGGACGGCCUCCGUGUGCCAAAAAUAGGCCACGGGCACAGCCGCGCCCAAAAAACAGCCCCCGAAGUUCGGGGUCCCAAGACCCCCCAGCGGAAAAAUGGCCAAAAAACGGUGGGCUAUAGCCUUGGUGGGGUGCGUGGGAGAAGUUCGUCCGCGGGACUCGGAAUGGCACCAGACUUGGUGGGUGGCCUCCGUGUGCCAAAAAUAGGCCACGGGCACAGCCGCGCCCAAAAAACAGCCCCCGAAGUUCGGGGUCCCAAGACCCCCCAGCGGAAAAAUGGCCAAAAAACGGGUGGGCUAUAGCCUUGGUGGGUGGCGCCCAAAAGUUCGUCCGCGGGACUCGGAAUGGCACCAGACUUGGCGGGCGGCCUCCGUGUGCCAAAAAUAGGCCACGGGCACAGCCGCGCCCAAAAAACAGCCCCCGAAGUUCGGUGUCCCAAGACCCCCCAGCGGAAAAAUGGCCAAAAAACGGUGGGCUAUAGCCUUGGUGGGGGGCGUGGGCGAAGUUCGUCCGCGGGACUCGGAAUGGCACCAGACUUGGCGGGCGGCCUCCGUGUGCCAAAAAUAGGCCACGGGCACAGCCGCGCCCAAAAAACAGCCCCCGAAGUUCGGGGUCCCAAGACCCCCCAGCGGAAAAAUGCCCAAAAAACGGUGGGCUAUACCUUGGUGGGGGGCGUGGGCGAAGUUCGUCCGCGGGACUCGGAAUGGCACCAGACU